GGAAAGAUGACCGAGUGGUUUAAGGUACGGAUCUGGAACGUCCGAGUAAGAUUAUCUUACCGAGGGUUCGAAUCCCUCUCUUUCC
rnacentral:tRNA from 1 species